ACCAGGGUGUUGGUCUUGCUAGCAUCGUUUUCUCCUUUGUAUGAGUCUUCAGUAACUACUCUUUUAAUGGAGAAGAGCAUCAUCAAGAUAGAUGUGGUCACCGUGAUGAUUUUCUAGAAUAAGAUUCUCAGGAGGGAGGACCUAGCUUCGAGCUCAAGCAGCGGUGACUCAGCUUUGAUGGUUUCUGGAGGAGCAGAUGGUAGCAGAUGAAGUGGUA
rnacentral:lncRNA from 1 species